rnacentral:rRNA from 1 species
CAGCCGCCGCGGGAAUACGAAGGGUGCAAGCGUCAAUCGGAAUUACUGGGCGUAAAGCGUGCGCAGGCGGUUUGUUAAGACAGAUGUGAAAUCCCCGGGCUCAACCUGGGAACUGCAUUUGUGACUGGCAGGCUAGAGUAUGGCAGAGGGGGGUGGAAUUCCGCGUGUAGCAGUGAAAUGCGUAGAUAUGCGGAGGAACACCGAUGGCGAAGGCAGCCCCCUGGGCCAAUACUGACGCUCAUGCACGAAAGCGUGGGGAGCAAACAGGAUUAGAUACCCCAGUAGUCCCUGUCUCUUAUAA